rnacentral:rRNA from 1 species
CACGUAGGGUGCGAGCGUUAAUCGGAAUUACUGGGCGUAAAGCGUGCGCAGGCGGUGAUGUAAGACCGAUGUGAAAUCCCCGGGCUUAACCUGGGAACUGCAUUGGGUGACUGCAUUGCUGGAGUAUGGCAGAGGGGGGUGGAAUUCCACGUGUAGCAGUGAAAUGCGUAGAGAUGUGGAGGAACACCAAUGGCGAAGGCAGCCCCCUGGGAUAACACUGACGCUCAUGCACGAAAGCGUGGGGAGCAAACAGG